GAGCAAGACAACAAUCAUAAGAAGAAGCCCAAAAAGAAGAAAGCCUCCCAUAAAUGACCCGAAUGCCUUGUGUUUACUCCAUUGCGUGUUUUGUUUUGAUGCUUUGUUUUUUAGUUUUUGUGUUUUGAUUAUAUGUAUGAGAAGAAAACACAAACCAGAAAACAUAUUGCGUUGCGUUUGUAUAAUAAGUGAUAACUGAUGAACGAUCGUUUUUU
rnacentral:ribozyme from 1 species